rnacentral:rRNA from 1 species
UACAGAGGGGGCGAGCGUUGUUCGGAAUUACUGGGCGUAAAGGGCGCGUAGGCGGCCCGCUAAGUCGAACGUGAAAUCCCCAGGCUCAACCUGGGAACUGCGUCCGAUACUGGAUGGCUUGAAUCCGGGAGAGGGAUGCAGAAUUCCAGGUGUAGCGGUGAAAUGCGUAGAUAUCCGGAGGAAUACCGGUGGCGAAGGCGGCAUCCUGGACCGGCAUUGACGCUGAGGAGCGAAAGCUAGGGGAGCAAACGGG